ACCUAUAAACGGUUUUCUCAAAUAUGGCCUAAGAUCAAUAAUCGGAAAAAUAAAAUACGCAUACCAAGUUAAGAAAAUAUCGAUUACGACAAUGAUUGACAUUAUUUCACUAUUGUUAAAAUGUUCAAAAGAUACCCAACUACCAUAAAAAACCAACAUAUGAAUACAGAUAAUGUUAAAUAAAGUUUCAUAAUAAAUCAAUUUACUCUAAUUUUUAAACUAACAGAACUAAACGUGAUUUGCUGAACGUAAAUUAGGCAUGUUACGAACUUUUAAGACGGGAUAACAAAAUAUCCUAACGUUAAAAUAUAAAAAUAUUUUUUUACAUAUUGUCUUAACAUUUCUAAAAAACAAUUAUACGUCUUUAAUAGUUUUAUCAUUAUAAGUUUUUACUUCUUUUAACGAUAACACACUUGUUUAAAUUCAUUUUUUAAAACCAUAUAUUAUUUUUGAAACAUAAAAUUCGAAAUUCGGACGAGUAGUUUAUGAGUUAUACCUUUGUACAUUCAGAAAUUCUAGUACAUAUUUCCCUAAUACAUUCUAACUUAACAAGUGUUUAAAGUUUUAUAGUCAGCUGAGUAGAAGACCAACAUUUUGCGGUGUCUCCCCGUAUCAGCACUCCACUUGCCAAAACUGUAUAUAAUAUUUGUAUGAAUUUUGAAUUUUAUGUAUUAAAAUACUCCAAAUAAAAGUAAAAACCUUAAAAAAUUAUAACGAUAAAAAAUAUUUUAAAAAAAAUUGUUAUAUUUUAACCGUAAAUUAUGAAAAAUAAAUGCUUUUUAAAAGGUUAUUAGAUUUUAUAAUAAUGAGUGUUAUUUGAUUAAAGAAUCACGCGGUAUAUACUAUAUACCUACUAUAUAUACCAGCUGGGAUCUCCAACCUACGGCUCUCGGGCCGAAUCUGGCCCGCCAGCGUUUUUGAACUACCCCGCCAAGCUAAUUUAUGUUUUAAAAAUAAUAUAUUAGUAUAUAAUAUUAUCUAUUUUUCAAUUUCAUUAUCUCCUUAUUCUUUAAAAAACGUUGGUCCGCAAUGAAAUAUCUUUUUCAGAUUUGGACUGCCGUAUAGGUUCGGCUCUGCGUUAAUUAACAGGCGCAAAACGUAUUUCGUGCGAUCGGACGGAAUUUACUAAAAUAUACUUCAAUCAUAAUAUGAAAAAUACGUAAAAUAAUAAAAUUCAAUAGAUAAAAAAUUAUAAUAUUUACAAAUAAUAACUGACAUUUUUCUUGAACACUUGCUCCAAACGUAAUCGUCGACUGCUAGGUAAUAUCAUUGAUUAUCUAUGAGACCACCUCUCUAUUCACUCAUCAAUGACCAGACCAAUUCACUGGGCUUAGAGACUUGAAACUUUUUACAGAGGUUCCUUAAACAAUGUAGGGGCGCACUAAUGCAACAAUUUUUCAAAAUUCGAUUUUUAAGGGAGUAAAAGGUUUUUUUUUAAAAGUUUAUAGAGAUUUUAUAUAGCUAUAUACCUAUAGAAGCUACAGUAACUCUAGUAACAAUAUAAUGCCAAGUGUUUAAAAUGUAUUUGGAAUUGAGACCAAAACAUAUAAAGUCUAAAAACCAUAUUAAUCACAGAUAUUUAUCCAUUUUUAUUUUAUAAUUCGUAUAAGUUGACCGAGUAAUACCUAAGUAUUUUAUGAUUAAAUAUACACUUUCGAAUUUCAAUAUAGUUACUUCAUGUCUUUAAUAUUAAAGUAAACACUAACACUCGGCCUAUGAAAAUGUCAAAAAUGAAACUACGUAAUACACGGGCAAUGCCAUAUCGGGACAGCUAGUAUAAUACAUAGUAUUAUAUAUAAUCAAUGAUUUCAUUUCCUUCAGAUUAAAAUUUAAAAAAUUCUUUCUUAGUGUACCAGUGCAUGGUGAAAUUAUAAUAUUAACAGUCUAUCCUCAAAAUUUCAAGUCGAUAACUCUAAUAAGUUCGGCUCUGCGUUCGAUUAUUUAUAUAAAUUUGAUUGAUUAUUAAUAGAGCUCGGAAAAAGUAUCGAAAUAUGCCAUAUAAAUGUGCAGUAUAAAUCAUGAAAAUAUGCAAAAAAAAAUUUUAUUUGCUUAAAAUUUACAAAUUAAUUAAUAAUAAUAAAUAAAUAAUUUCUUAACAAAUAAUUAAUUACUUAAAUAAUUAUUAAAAAAAAAAGUAGGGAAUUUUCUGAACAAUUUAAUGUAUUUUUAAAAUAACAAACAAUAGAUUUUCCACAAAGGUUGCAAAAUACUAUUUUUUCAUUAGUAGUGAAAACCUCAGUGUUUUUGUUUGCUGAGGAAAUCCAAUCUCAAAUUUUGUUGCAAAUCGAACUUAUUUUCGACAUAUUCACAAUUAUGGACAAAACGACAAACGAUGUAUAACUGUGUCUGUGUGGUAUGUCAAUAACUGACUAAUACAGCAAGAAUGCAAGAUCAAUAUUACGAUUAAAGUUUUGUAAAAAUACGCAAAACUAUACAAUAACCAUUAAAUAUGAAGAACUGUGCAAAAAAAAAUUUCACCAGUAUCUUCAAGUUAUUAUAAUUCGUAAAGAUUACUGACAAAAAUCCAAAAAUGUGAAAAGGAAAAAAAUAUGCAAUUGCAUAGAAAUAUUAGAAAUCCGGGCUCUAAUUAUUAUUAUUGUCAAUUGUCAUUAUAUUAAUUAAUAUCGGUUUAACACGGAUUUAAUGUAUUUCAAUUAUUAUAAUCAGGCGCGGAUCCAAGGG